rnacentral:tRNA from 1 species
CGACAGCCCUCCGAAGGCAGAGGCCAGAGGUUCGAAUCCUCUCAGGUGCGCCA